rnacentral:rRNA from 1 species
UACGUAGGUGGCAAGCGUUAUCCGGAAUUACUGGGCGUAAAGCGCACGCAGGCGGUCUUUAGUUGACGUGAAGCUCCCGGCUUAACUGGGAGAGGUCGUUGAAUACUGGAAGACUUGAGGAAAUGAGAGGGGUGUAGAAUUCCUGGUGUAGUGGUGGAAUGCGUAGAUAUCAGGAGGAAUACCAGCGGCGAAAGCGGCACCCUAGCAUUUUCUGACGCUCAUGUGCGAAAGCGUGGGAGCGAACGGG